rnacentral:rRNA from 1 species
AUGGCAUCCCUCAUCACAGUCAUUGGAUAGACCAUUUGGAAUGAGAGUAAUGCCCGCAUUUUCCGCAACAAGAGCGUGCCACCCCCAAUUCUGCUAAACAACAUCAAGAGUGAAGCCCUCACCUAGGUCAUCGCAAAGGCUAAGAAACUGGGUACUAUAAUGCCGGGAGAGUAA